CUAAUUAAUUAAAAGGCCCAUAAGUAGGUGGGCUUAGAAGAAUUCCAGGAAGCUGUUGAAUUUUGGGCGGGUCCAGAAGGCGGCGCUAGGCAGAAAGAAGGGAAGUUCCGCGGUUUCAUCUUUCUUCUUGCAUCUCGGCUGCCUCGUGAUCAGGAAGUCAUGGAGGGAGACUAGUGCCUAGUAUUUGCGGUGCCUGAAAACUUUCUUAAGAAGCAGUUGUUUUGCUGGCCUCCUAGGACAUCCAGGAGCUGGUCCUGUCAUCUUCCAGGUUAGAGGAGCUGUUGGACUAGGAACCCGGCAGGAGCUGGGCAGCGGUGUGGAGCAGGGGUGCCUUUUCUGCCGCCAUUCUCACAAUUCAGUAUUUGCGGAACCUGAAAACUUCCUUAAGCUGCCGUUGCUCCUCCUAGGACAUUCAGCAGCUGAUCCUGUCACCUUCUAGGUCAGAGGAGCUGUUGGACUGGGAAAUGGGCAGGAGCUGGGCAGGUAUUCAUAUGCUCAGCUAAAUGUACAUAACUGUAAAUCAACACUAAGAGCACCGGAUGGUUAAGGUCAAGGAGAUUCUCACAAAGGAUCCAGAAGAGUUCCAAUAUUUGAAAAUGGGAAAAAAAAAGAAAAAAAAGAAAAAAAAAAGAAUGAGUUCUUCUCUGGUAAAAUUCCAGGUGGAAGAAGGGGAAGUGCAAACUUGGUGUUCUGAGACUCCCUUAGGUAAGCUUCCAGACUGCUACAUGAGACCCUGGGAGAAGGACAGCAACAAGAAUGAGUGUGUGUCUGGUAAAUACACCACAGGGUCUGUUAACCUUCAAGGACGUGGCCUUGGACUUCUCACUGGAGGAAUGGGAAUCUCUCAGUUUUGCUCAGAGGACAUUGUACAUGGAUGUGAUGUUGGAGAAUUACAAUAAUCUGUUAUUUGUGGAAAAUCAUUGCAUAUGUGGAAAGUAUGAGAAGGUCUUGGAUCAAGACAGCCAGUACAUUGUCCAUGAACACAUGAAUAUUCAAGAGAAGUCUUCUAAAUGGGACAAACUUAGCAAUGUGAUACUUGAAGCCCCCCAAUGUACACCUUACAAAACUAAUCAUACCUCUGAUGCUCUUCAAUUUUCGAACCAAAAAAGACUUAAGCCCAGGAACACUAAAGAAGUUUGCAAAUACAAUGACUCUGUAAACAGUUUAACUUUGUUUUCUACCGUUAGUCUCAAUCAGGGAAUCCACAUGCAGAAGAAAAAACACAACGGAAAUGCAGAAUCUGAGAAGGCUUUUAUUUCUAAACAUAAAGUCAUGGUGAAACGAAAUAAUACUGGAGUGAACCCUUACAAAUGUAGUAAAUUUGACAAAUAUCUUACCCAGAGAGACAAACUUCAAAGUCAGCAGAGAAUUUAUCAUGAAAAGAAACAUUACAGAAGUAGUAAAAGUGACAAAUGCUUUACCCAUCAGAUCGAUCUUAGUAUCCAUCAGGGAAUUCAUGCAGAAGAGAAAAUUUAUAAAUGUAGUGAAUGUGACAAAUGCUUUACCCACAAAUUUCAUCUUAAUAUUCAUCAGAGAAUUCAUACAGGAGAGAAACCUUACAAAUGUAGUGAAUGUGACAAAUGCUUUACCCAAAAAUCUCAUCUUAAUAUUCAUCAGAGAAUUCAUACAGGAGAGAAACCUUACAAAUGCAUUGUAUGUGAGAAAUGCUUUACUGAAAAAGGCAAUCUGAGAAUUCAUCAGAGGAUUCAUACAGGAGAUAAACCUUACAAAUGCAGUGAAUGUGACAAAUGCUUUACCCAAAAAUCCCAUCUUAAUAUUCAUCAGAGAAUUCAUACAGGAGAGAAACCUUACAAAUGUAGUCAAUGUGACAAAUCCUUUACUGAAAAUGGCCAUCUGAGAAUUCAUCAGAGAAAUCAUACAGGUGAGAAACCUUACAAAUGUAGUCGAUGUGACAAAUCCUUUACUGAAAAUGGCCAUCUGAGAAUU